rnacentral:lncRNA from 1 species
GUAAUUAAGGUUGCAAAAUGGCGAGGGGGGAGGUAAGCUGUCUUUGCUUGGCCAUCUUGGGCUAGCAGGCCUUGCAGAGAACUACCUUUUUAGCUGAGUGAAGGGAUCAACCUGAGUUGGAGUUCUCCUAUGCUGUGGCCAGAUCCACUAGAAAUUAACCCAGAAUCUUAGCCUCUCAGUGGCCUAUCGGUGAUGCCACACUCAAUCAGAAACUAUGCUACUGCUGAAGAGGUAUAUUGAGCCCUGCCUGGUUAACCUCCAGUGAGGUUAUUAGAGAAUUGGGAGAGGCUCAAAUCAGCAUCCUGCACCUAGUUAUCAAACCAUUGUGAAGUCUUGAUUCCUGGAUGGCCAGAAAACUUGUCAUUGGUCAAGAGCAACAUUAAGAUCUGCCUGUUACUCAUACUGAUGCUUCCUGCCCAGCAAGUUCAUCAGAGGGCGAGGAUGAAUUACGGUUGCCAUGAAUGUCCUUGUGAGGCAGUUGGGAAGCCUUGGCUGGAUUGUGAAGGAUAUUUGAAAAGUAUUUUAGAGUCCACCAGAUCAUCCAUGUGAGUGACCAUGCAGCAAAAGAAGGAGGGUCCUCUCAGUGAUUAAGAUAAUCAGCAACUGCUGUGAUGAGAUGCUGCCUUUAAUGCUGCUGCAUGUGGUCAAACCUCCA